ensembl:lncRNA
AAGUGAGGUUAGGUAAGUGAGGUUAGGUAAGUGAGGUUAGGUAAGUGAGGUUAGGUAAGGGAGGUUAGGUAAGUGAGGUUAGGUAAGUGAGGUUAGGUAAGUGAGGUUAGGUAAGUGAGGUUAGGUAAGGGAGGUUAGGUAAGGGAGGUUAGGUAAGUGAGGUUAGGUAAGUGAGGUUAGGUAAGUGAGGUUAGGUAAGGGAGGUUAGGUAAGGGAGGUUAGGUAAGUGAGGUUAGGUAAGUGAGGUUAGGUAAGUGAGGUUAGGUAAGUGAGGUUAGGUAAGUGAGGUUAGGUAAGGGAGGUUAGGUAAGGGAGGUUAGGUAAGCGAGGUUAGGUAAGUGAGGUUAGGUAAGUGAGGUUAGGUAAGUGAGGUUAGGUAAGUGAGGUUAGGUAAGUGAGGUUAGGUAAGUGAGGUUAGGUAAGUGAGGUUAGGUAAGUGAAAUUAGGUAAAUGAGGUUAGGUAAGUGAGGUUAGGUAAGUGAGGUUAGGUAAGUGAGGUUAGGUAAGUGAAAUUAGGUAAAUGAGGUUAGGUAAGUGAGGUUAGGUAAGUGAGGUUAGGUAAGUGAGGUUAGGUUAGGUAAGUGAGGUUAGGUAAGUGAGGUUAGGUAAGUGAGGUUAGGUAAGGGAGGUUAGGUAAGGG